rnacentral:rRNA from 1 species
UGGGGAAUAUUGGACAAUGGGCGAAAGCCUGAUCCAGCCAUGCCGCGUGUGUGAAGAAGGUCUUCGGAUUGUAAAGCACUUUAAGUUGGGAGGAAGGGCAUUAACCUAAUACGUUAGUGUUUUGACGUUACCGACAGAAUAAGCACCGGCUAACUCUGUGCCAGCAGCCGCGGUAAUACAGAGGGUGCAAGCGUUUAUCGGAAUUACUGGGCGUAAAGCGCGCGUAGGUGGUUUGUUAAGUUGGAUGUGAAAUCCCCGGGCUCAACCUGGGAACUGCAUUCAAAACUGACUGACUAGAGUAUGGUAGAGGGUGGUGGAAUUUCCUGUGUAGCGGUGAAAUGCGUAGAUAUAGGAAGGAACACCAGUGGCGAAGGCGACCACCUGGACUAAUACUGACACUGAGGUGCGAAAGCGUGGGGAGCAAACA